rnacentral:rRNA from 1 species
CACGUAGGGGGCAAGCGUUGUCCGGAUUUAUUGGGCGUAAAGAGCUCGUAGGCGGUUCGCUAAGUCGGGUGUGAAACCUCCAGGCUCAACCUGGAGACGCCACCUGAUACUGGUGUGACUCGAGUCCGGUAGGGGAGCGUGGAAUUCCUGGUGUAGCGGUGAAAUGCGCAGAUAUCAGGAGGAACACCGGUGGCGAAGGCGGUUCUCUGGGCAUGAUCUGACGCUGAGGAGCGAAAGUGUGGGGGGCGAACAGG